rnacentral:lncRNA from 1 species
UUUAGUUUCUUAUAACAGUUCUAUGUCUCUUCUACUAUUAUGCUUUUACGAGGACCUUCCUUCCAUUAAAGAAAGGUGUUUUAUAACAUUCCCUACAGAGAUAUUACCUUACUAGGCUGGAUCUUAUUUUUAUUGCCUGCCUCCAUUUCUAAUCUGACUGUAUUACUUGGUUUCAUUUCUCAGCUCUGAAUGUUAACAACACUGCACAGAUGGAUGUUGUGAUUUUCUUGCAGAGGUUAUUAAGAUUCUAUUUGCUUCUCCUCCCCAAAGUCAUUAAUAAAGAUGGGGAAAACCAAGUUCAAAAGUAAUCCCUGUGUUAUAACAUUAGAAACUCUCCCCCACCCCAAACCAAAUUUAAAAUGCCAUUACUUAACCCUUCCUUUUGUUUUCUCUCAGUCAGUUGAAUCCUUUUUACUAUGUUCAUGGCAAAAGAAAUGUAGCCCAGUUUUGGGAGUUGAAUUUGAUGAGUCCCUGAUCUUUUGUCAUUGUUAUUUUUUUUUUUUUUUUAUGAAUUAGUAUUAACUGCAUCAAAAGAGCUUAAUGAGCUUCACCUGGCAUGAUUUAUAAGGUGAUUGUUUUUCAUCCUUUGCUGAAAAAGAGACGUCCUUUGAUUUGUUAUGCUUUCAAUGAGUAGAAAACAGCAGCUGGGAAAGGAUACUGAAAAGGGUUGAAGUGCGUUAAGGCGCGGUUGCCCUCCUCUGCAACAGAUUGGUGGGGGUAAUUCUGUGUUCAGGCCAUACCGGUGCAGCAGUCUGAACCAGACAGCAUGCAGAAAGGGAAAAUGGAUAAUUACCUAUGGCCAUUCAUUUAACAAUUGAAUACCCACCCUAGACCUUGGGGUGGCAAUGAUGAAUAAGACGGACACAUUCGUUCCUCUGCAGGCAUGUUAUACUGGGGUUAGCUGACAAGUGGAAAGACCUUUUCAGUACAGGAUAAUCAGUUCUCUUACCCAGGAAGUUCAAAUUGCUGUAGGGGCUCAUUGGCAGAGCAACCACCCUGUUUAGUACUAACAGAUAAUGGACAUCUCAUGUUUGAAACUGUUAGCAGUUCCACUGGAACUGGAAUGGAAUAAAAAUGUUGGACGGGGAGUUCCCAUCAUGGCUCAGCAGAAGUGAAUCUGAUUAGUAUGCAUGAGGAUGCAGGAUUGAUCCCUGGCCUCGCUCAGUGGGUUAAUGAUCCGGUGUUGCCAUGAACUGUGGUGUAGGUUGCAGACGUGGCUUGUUGCUGUGGCUGUGGUGUAGGCCAGCAGCUACAGCUCCGAUUUGACCCCUACCCUGGGAACCUCCAUAUGCCAUGGGUGUGGCCCUAAAAAGACAAAAAAAAAGUUGGAUGGAUCAACAUAGAAUAUUUAUUUACUUGAGUUAGUUAUUGUAGAUUAAUAAUUUAGUUGUAUUAGUUGACAUAAAAGUAAUUUUUAAGACCGAAAGAGGAAGAAACAUGGGAAGUUUUUAGCAACAGUAUUAAACAAUGGAGUUCCUAUUGUGGCUCAGCAGGUUAAAAACCUGACAUAGUGUCUGUGAGUGGGUGGGUUCGAUCCCUGGCCUUGCUCAGUGGUUAGGGAUUUGGCGUUGCCUCAAGUUGGGGCAUAGGUCACAGAUGCGGCUCGGAUCCGGUGUUGCUGUGGCUGUGGCUAGGCUGGCAGCUGCAGCUCCAAUUCAACUGCUAGCGCAGAAACUUCCAUAUGCUGCAGGUGCAGCCGUAAAGAGAAAAAAAAUAAAACACAUAUGGUACUCCAUAUAAUUCCAUAAAAAUCUGAUAAGAAUGUGCAUAAAUGCAAUAUGAAGCUGUAGAAAGAAUACCAUUGAAUUAUUCACUGAUUACUCUUCAUGGCAUAACUAUAGGUUCUUAGUGGACAUUUGUCUAGUUGUCAGAUAGAAUUAAGGAGAUGCAGAGCAGUAGAAUUAGUUGAAACUGUAAUUAAGUAUGACUGUAUCAGAGGGCAAACUUCAUUUGGGUUAUUUCCAAUGACUGCGAAGGAGGAGCUUUCCAGGAUUGCUUCCUGAGUGAAGUCCAAAUCAGAUGGUCUCUCAUGGGACCAUCCAAUCCCUUCCCUAACAGGGAAAUAGGUAUCUCUCUCCAGUAAACUUCAGAAAGUGUCCUAAACUUAGGUUGGUGCUUUUGGUAAAUCCCAGGAAUGGAGUCUAUUAUGCAAUCCUGAAACCCUCAAAGCUGGCUUUGCCUCAAAGAAAGGGUACCAGCUGAAAUAAACUAGGAGGCGCAGUGUCCUGACAUGGCCAUCCUGGCCUUUAGACUUGUAGAAAUGCCCCUGGUGCAGAGACAGUGCGUCCCAGUCUCUGUACUCUGCUUUGCCCAUAAGAGCAGUGACCUCUGAAAUUGUUAGUUGGAGAAUCUUAGAUGCAGGCUCCAACAGGUGAAUGUCUUUGUUUACAUUCCUAAGUUAUAUUUUUCAUACUUUUUUGGUUCUGGUCUGUUUUUUAUCAUAGUCUCUAUUUUAAAAUUUGCUGCUGUACUAGAAUCUUCCUGGCUCCAUGAAGGGGGAAUUACUUGAAUGGCUAUUUAUAACAUUUCCCUUUCUCCAUCCCCCUAGUCUUUUGCUCUUUUUGAUUACCUGUAUCUUCUACUCUGUAGCAACUGCCGCUCUUGAUUUCAAGUUCUUCUAAUAUUAGAAAAUAGAAAAAUUUCCUCUCUUUUAAAAUUUCCUUUACUUGUCAAUAUCUCCCUAAAAAAUAAGUAAGAAUGAGGAUACACUAAAACAGUUCACAGAAGUAGAGAGGGGGAUAUAGCAGCAGGACCAAAAGCAAAGGAAUAUAUGGAUUAUGGUUAUCCAUUUUUCUGGGGACUCUACCAUUGAUCAGUCUGGGGACUUUGAUGGUUCCUGCCAUUUUAAAAAUGUUGCUUUCUCUAUUUUGACAAUGAUGUGCUGCAGGUAUGGUCUGCUGAAAAUAAGGCUUGAUUUUAAAAAAUUGCACUUUUAACCUGGAUCCUUCUGAGAUGGCAGAUUAUGAAAAAUGAAUUUGAGAAAUGGAACCUAUUGUGAAAAAUCACAUUUGGAUAAUAACUGAAUAUGUGAAAACCAAGCAAGACUCUAGUAUUUUCCCUCUACUGCAAUGUGGCUACAUACCAAGUGAAAAAUAAUACAUUAACAAUGAAUUCUUGUGGCAGUGGAAUUAUUCAGUACCUUUACACUGGUGCUAAAAUGGUAUCAAACUUGAUAAACACAACCCCACAUACAAAUGAGGAAAAGUAUAACUGAGGAAAUCUGAAUAAGAUUACUGGAUUGUAUAAUGUCAGUUUUCCACCCAAACGACUUUAAAAAUGAGGGCAUGAGGAUAUGGUUGCAAAGGGAAAACAUCUCUGGAAAUUUUAGCUAACUACUUUACUUGUAAGAAGAAUAUCUUAAUCUAACAGUUUUUUGGAAGGUUUAAUUUAAAAGUUUCAGAGUAAUAUAAGCAAUUUUGAAAUAAUGCAUAAAGAUUCACUUUCAGUGAAUUUUAAAAUGAUGUUAGAAUUGUCAUAUGCGGGGAUUUAAAUGAAAAGAGUUGAAUAGUAGGCACUAUGAUAUAAUUACAUGAUUAUUUAGGGAGCAGAGACUAUAUUCGUUAUGUUUCACAAUCUGUAAAAGAUGAGUUCUUUCCCUUCCCAUCCAGAAGGUAACCUAAACACAUAAAAUCAAGUAACAGGUAAUAAAAAUGCUGAGUUUAUCAUUCCAGGUUAUUGUUUGCCAUUUGAGUGUCUGUGUGUGUGUGAUGUGACCUUGGGAGGCCACAUUCUGUCUACCUGUUCCCUUAGUCAAAGCAUUCUCUGAACUCUCCUUUUGAAAAUGCCUUUGGACACUAUGACGUUAAUUUGGAUAUUGUCUGGGGAAGGACUGUUUGUUUUUUGAGGAGGGUGAAAUAGUCCAGAUCUACCAAGUUAAGUCUGGUGAAGAAAAUGGUAGUUGAGAUUCAGUCAUAUUCCAUUGGGUCAAAAACAAGGGGUUAAUGUAAAACAGUGCAUUUGCUUUUCCUGUGUGGUUUAUUUAUUGAUUCUGAAAAUAAAGUAAGAAAACUUUAGAGCUCAGAGGGGUAAACCUGUAGGACACUCGUUUCUGGGAGUAUGUUUGCCAUGUAGCCAGUUUUAUGACUCUGUGAGCAAAUUUUACACAUAAUACAAUUUGGCAGGUUAGGUAUAAACCAAUCAACCAACACAUAUUUGUUGAAUACCUGCUAUAUUCCAAAUGAUGAAGGAAUAAGAAGAGUUAGAUAUAUUUCAACCCAGUGAGAUGAUCCUAUUUCAGAUGUUUCAUUUACUCCCUCUACUUAAUUAUUAAUGGACAGACUUACUGCUCUUGACCCAUUUUAUUGAGAGAUGGGUGCUUACUGCAUCCUGGAUUGUGUAUCCAGAGUGGAGUACCUCGCUGGUCUAUGCAAAACUGGAUCCUUGUGGGUCGGAGCUGCUAAGUGCAAGGAACCCUUGUUGACACUGAGCAGAAGGCACCCUGCCAACUCCUAGGAUGAGCUGAUAAAGAGUUUGGGAGAACUCUCACUCUGGACAUUCUGGGGAGAUUUCCUUCUUCAUGGUAAGAGUUGAGAAGUGCUUCUUGAGUCCUUAACCCUAGGAAGGUUAUGCUUUCUCCCCACAAGGGCGCCCAAGCAAAUGCCGUCUUCCCUCUAGUUCAGCUGCAGUUCAAUUCCAAGGUCAAGAAAUCAGGGAAUCCUCCAGGUGUUGGGUGUUGUGCUUGAGAAUGAAAUUGUAGGCUCUGUGUAAACAGAAAUUAAAUCUUCAUCACAUAGGGCUCUGUGAAUUACCCAGAGGCUCUACUCUGCGCCCACAGAUUGUGGGGUGUGAUCAAGGUACUGAAUAUCCAUGUUGCUUCCCCAGUCAGCCUUGUUUCUGCAUGUUAAUAUCUUUGAUCAAGGAUGCAAAGUGAUUUUAAUCUUCUUGCUUCUGUGUUGAAGAAUGAGCUUCUUUGCCAUCUCAAAUCAGUUAUGCAAAAAUUUAAUUUAAUGACCUAUUGAGGUCUACAGACUAUGAAAAUAAACAGUAUAUGAGUAUAAAACAAUAAUUGUGUAGAUAAAAUCAUAACAGAAAUAUUUGGUUUACAGGUAUCACAAAAGAACAACUCACUUUUAGAGGGAGAGAAUACAUAGUAUAGAUAACUAGGUAUGUUAAAAAAGAGGAGGGAUCAAAAAAAAAAAGGAGAAUUGGAAUAAAUUGUAUUUUUCAAUUUUUGUAUUUCUUUAUCUCCAGGUUUUGUGGGCUCCCAUUCCAUGAUAAAAAUUUCCCUAUUAUUAUUCUCUUGGUGGGCCUUGUUAUUAGAGAAAAACUAAAAAUGGAUCCUCCUUUGCUACAUUUUGGUUGAGCAACUUUAUUUUUGGAUUCAGUCAGCAUGAAUAUAAGGCUUUUAUUCAAAUCAAGCUUAUAAAAUAAAAUAUUCUUUCUUUCAAAUUUGCCUCUGUAGCCUAUACCCCUCAUCGGAUGUCAAGAUUAAUUCAGUCAUAGUGGAUACAAGGCUAAUUCUUUACAUAAGAAAGAAAGCAUUGUUUUCAUACAAAUGAGUAGAAACUGCUGAAAGACAGGGCCCCAGCACUGAGCUUUUAUCUCAAGUUCCUGGGAGAGUCAAGGUGCUAAGAGAUAUUAUCCAUUCUCCUCCCAGAUAUUUUUAAAGAUCCCUAGGCCUCCCAUGUGCUAGAAGGUGAGGGAGGAUUUAAAGUCUUUCUGAGAAUGAUUCCUCACCUUACUGUGGUUUUCUAUUACUAAUACAAUACUUAUUUUCCCAAUAUCUGUGACACUUUUUUUUUUUUUCCUCCAAGGUAAUGAACACAGGUGACUUCUCUUAAGAAACAGAAUAGUUAAAAGCACCAGAUUUGUUUACACUUAACUUGAAGUGGUUCAAAAUUUUCACCCUCUAAUAUACUUGUUUUUUCUAAGAGAAGCACAGCUAUGUGUUUAUGAAGACUAAAGAAAUUUAACUUUGGAGAAGGAAUGUAACAUUUCAGCUGCUGUUGCCUUUGUUAUUAGCUAUUAUUUAAACCAGGAACUCUAAUUUUCUCUCCUGGGUCUCUCUACUGUAAAGGGUGCAACAGUGUCUCUGAAUGCUGCAGAAGCAGGAAUGAAUCCCUUUUGGCAGUAGAGGCAUUCCAAAAUGUGGAAUAGAGUUUCCACAGGGAAAGAGAUUUUUGCCUCUUCUGUUUGAUGUUCUGACGUGACACAGUAGACCCUCCAGUCCAUUAUUUGUGGAAUGAAUGAAUCAAUUCUCAAGAAAAACUGUGGGAUGUGGGUUUGUUGGAACUUGAUUUCCAGACUUUCACUUGGGGAGGAAAAUGUUAUCAGUGAGUGCCACUGAUGCCUUUUUCCUUUUUUAUUCUAAGAAAAUCUUGCUUCCCCUUCUUCCAGGCUUGAUACCUGAGGGAACAGAACUCUGUGGCCUAGAUUACCAAACUCUAAUUUCUUCAAGGGGUAUAGUUGAGAAUUUGGAAAGCCUCGGAAUGGCUGCAUCCGCCUUGUAGAGAAGUACCAAUCAGCAGAGGGUCAGGGCCACAUGGCCAGCUGGGCUGGGGGCCCGCCAGUUGUGGAAGCCUUUCUCAGACUCAUCAAAUGCAUGCCUUAGACCUGGUUAAUAAAGUAUAAACCAACAACCAAUGAUUGCAUUUUAGAGUUAUUUUUUCGUCAUAAAAUACUCAAAGGAUGUGAAGAUAGGUUGGAAUGUGUAAAGAAAAGCUAAGAAAGCAGAAUUUUGAUAAGACGAGCAUGUGACGUGUAUAACAGCUCUGAAUCACAGUCUCAAGGAUGGCAUGCUGACAGUUCCUUUCUUACUUGUGAUCGCUAGCAUUUUAUUUCCUCCUGUAACAGAUCACUUUUGAGCCAAUCUUAAGAUGAGAAACUACUUUGAAGAAUUAUGCAUAACGUGGGUUGUAUCUCCCUUGUUAUCAGUGGGGGUUCCACUGCUUAUAGGUGAAUGGAGAUGAUGCCAUGUCUUUGGACAUAACAGCUUUUGAUAGACCAAAUAAUUCCUUUCGAGCCAUGCAGUUGUCUGUAAAUCUGCUUAGUUGGUCCUCCAGAGUGAUGACAUUUAAGGUACAGUUGAUACACUGCUUAUCUCAAAGAAACAUUUUAAAAUUAAUUCGUCAGACCUGUGCAAUAUUUUAUCUUUUCGGUUUAAUAAUAUCCAAAUGUGCUUUAGUUGCUUU